CCAAUAAUUCUAAGAGUAGAACCUCCUUAGCUUCUCAGAGCCGAAGUAGUCAUUACUAGCAUCUUACAAUUCUUAACAAGAUGUUUAGUAUUCAAAAGGCCAAAAUUUUGACUGAAAAAACAAGUUCAGGCCUCUUUCAAAUAUGCUGACAGCACAAGCAGCUAUGUACCAUCUAUUGAUUCGUCCGACAACCGAAUUCAAGGCAAAUCGUUCAAAUUCCCCAAGAGAUAAUCUUGCUCAACAUUGCGAAUAUAUAUAUGGCAUUUCAAGAUAUCCAGGUACUACUUAUGGCCACAUUAAUCUACAAGUACCAAAAUGAAAAAGAAGCAAGUGAAAGUAGAUAAAAAACACAGCUAAACACAUAACUAUAUACCAAAGUCCAAACCACAAUAACUUUCUUUCCUUGAUCUUUAUUGCAACUUGCAAUUCGGGCUUCUUUCAAAAAUACUAACAAGCAAAACAAGCAGAGAUCUUACAACCAGCAAAGAACAAAAACAACACAAGCAGAUAUUCAAAGGGAACAAGAUUAAUACAUUGCAUAUUACAAACCUAAGCAAACUAGAAAUGUUGAACAGAUCAAGAAAUCAUCAAGUGACAUGACCACUAUAUUAUUUUAGAGGGAUGCUCAUAUUUAUAAACAUAUAAUUUUAAUUUUACCAGUACAUUUUUGCUUUUUUCGGGCCCAGGUGCUCAAGCCCCCGACAUAUAACUUCAUGAUCAACAUAUCAAACUAUCCGAUAUAGUUUCAGGAUCGACUAAUUUUGCCCAUGAUAACGCAUUCAUUAACAUCCAAAGAUCAUAAAUAUAUUCACAAGUGCAAAAUAGUCAUAACAAACUAACUCCAGCAAAUACAUAAUACUCUCCGUCUCGUUCAUUUCUUUACACAAGAGACGGAAGACUCGACACGCAUUUUAAUUAACAUCCUCUUUGGUGAAGCACAGCGUCAAUAACAUCGCCAUUCUGGAGCUCAAAGUCGUUGGGAGUAUUGGUGCAGCAGAGCCUCGUGCCCUUACAAAUGAAAGCCGUUCCCUUGUGAUCACCGAGUUUUCGGAUCUCGCAGUAGGCAGUCUUGAGCUUUAGAAAUGUUUGGUCACGCUUCAUAGAGAAGCACAGAGAUUUUCCAUCCAUCCCCAUCACCGUCAGAGUUAUCUUGUCAUCAGGUUUUUCAAAGCCGAUUGAAUUGCUUCCGCUACUCUCUUCCAUGGCUUCUUCUCUCUGAUUCGCUUCGGUCUAGAGGUGUUGUCGAUUGUGUGUUAUUUAUGCAACGAGGCGGAAAGAAUCUCGGGUUAGGGUUGACUCAAGCCCAAUUAAUACAUGUAUCAAGUUGGGCUCAAUAUUAUGAUGGGUAGUGGGGACACGUUUAAAUAACAUAUUUUUUGGAUCAUUUGAUGAAUAUCAAAUGGCAUAGGAUUAUAAUUUUUUUUUUAAUUAUCGGAUAGGUAUGUGUUUAAUGCAUUUUAACUGCUAGACGUCAUUUUAUCCGAUGUUAUUGUUCAGUUAUGAUGAAACCAAAAGCAACCCGAGUAGGGGAGCAUAAGAAUAAUUUUGAUGUACUUUCACAUUUUCUCUCAAAUAACAAUAAAAUCUAAAUAAAAUACAAGUAUAAAAAAUAUGGUUAGAGUUGUCAUGAUAUUCAAUACAAUGAUAUUCAAUACACUGUUAUCAAGUUAGCUGAGAAUGUUUCAUUAUGAAUUAAUGAGAAAUUAACUCUAAUCAUCUUUCUUGUUUUGGAUGUUCAUCUAGUUUAAUUGCAACGUGCCAUCCCAUCAGAGUGAACUUAUUCAGGAUUGUCACUCCCCUGUGAUUCCAAAUUGUCAUCACAUUUCAUCAAAGACUUCAAAUGUUUUAAAAGUACCAUGUAAAAGCACUGGGUCUUGCUCUCUGUAGGUGCAUAUUUUUGUAUAAAACUCAUACUCUCAUGAAUAAUACUUUGGUUCAACUAACGUCAGAGUUCAAAAAUAAAAUUAAAAUAUUGUUUUUGAAAUAGACUAAACCAUUACUCAAUAAUAAAACAUGUCACAGAGCUAAAGUAAAACACGUCACUCCUAUAAAUGAAUUGCUUAAUUUCCUAUAAUGUAAAAUGUUGAUUUUCUGUUUCAUUUGAAAUAAACUCUACUCAUAAGUUAUCACCAACAUGAAUUCUUCAAUAUUUGGUUUCCUUUGCCAAAGCCUGAAUCCUAACGUUUAUUCAUAGGUUGAAAUGCUUAUAAUACCAUAAUAUUCACAGGCUUUUGAUCCAGUAUCUCGAUACUCGAUCAAAACAAAAUUGUGCUAUUAGUUGGCCUCAAAACAUUGGAAAUAACCUAUAUGAUCAUGCCACAGUCGAGCAAUCACAGUAAUGCCAAAAUGAUGAAUUGCAGGCAUACUUCCUAUACAAGUACCUGCUAAGAACUUUCUUUUGACUAUUUUCUUUGCUAAUGAAGAAUGCACUAAUUUCACUUUCUGAUCUGAUGUACUCGAUUACUGUUUUCCCAUGAAUAAAAAUCUAAGAUCUUCUACAGUCAAUCGAUUUCCUGAUCCACCACUUUGAUCUUCACCAAAAGCGGAUGCAACCAUUUUCCUCUUAUCAUCCUGCAAAAGCACAAUCAAAAUAAUGCAGAACUUGGCCUCAAUAAAUGCACUAUAUACAAGAAAGACCCAGUAGCACAAAUAAAGACCCACUAUAUCAUUUUUUAAUGCAAAGUAGAUAUUAUCACUUUGAAACUGCAUAAGAUAUAGUAGAUACACAAAAUUAAAACUGUGGUACAUACCUGAAGAGCUAGAAUUCGUUCUUCUAUUGUGUUUUUAAUGGUGAGUCGUGAAACAGUAACAGGUCGAGUUUGUCCAAUCCUAUGGGCUCGAUCAAUAGCCUGGUCUUCAGUAGUUGGAUUCCACCAAAGAUCUAGAAGGACUACAUGAGUAGCAGCAACCAUGUUGAGACCAAGGUUGCCAGCUUUCAGUGACAUCAGCAUCACCGUCACCUGAAACUUACAUAUACUGACAUAAGUGAAAGUAAUUCCUCAAUUUAUCAUGUUAUGCACCAAACCCGAGUUAUCUGAGAUACCAACUUGAGUUUAAUUUUAAAUCAUUUGGAAGAUAAAUAAAAUAGAGAUCCAUCAGAUUGAUAAUGCUCUGUCAAAAUCAUAAAAACUUGUCACUUCUGAAAAUAUAAAUUUUGUAUUUUUUUCUUACAAGUCAACAGCAAGUAGUUCAAAAAAAAACUGAAUCUCAUUUACCACUAAUUGCACGAUUUCACUUUAUUCUUGAUUAUCAGUCUCCUAAUACUUUUGCUAAAUAAGUAGGAUAUUUUAAUAUACUUUCCAGGUAUUAGUCGCUUCACAAAAAUGACUUGUAAAUCUAGUCAUGAAAACCAAUAUUUUAUGCAGGAAAUGACAAGUAUUGCCACAAAAUCAAAAAAAUGCAUGAGCCCAACCACCAAGUAUCUUGCAAACACAUCUAUAUGAUAUAGCAAUACAAGAUCUGCACCUACAAGGGGUAAGAGUCCAACCUCAGGAUCAUUGUUAAAUUCUUUGACAGCCUUGUCUCUUGCAGAUAGUGUCAUUGUACCGUCAAGUCUCCUAUAUCUUAGAUCAGAGUGGUUCAGUGAAAUUUCUACCAAGUCCAACAUGCCUGUCCACUGAGAGAAAACAAUAGCCUUUUUUGGUGCUUCAGUAUGUGCAUCUGAACAUGCUUUUGUGUUUGUAAAUUCUACAAUAGAACCAACUGAUUCAGCUGUUUCCUUGCCUCGAGAUGAUGAAAUGUCACUGUGUCCAACUAUAUUAUGUAGUUGUGAACAUGCAUUAUUCGAUUUACAGUGUGAUUGAAGAAUCUCCAUGGCAGCUUUAACUUUUGAAGAUCUAUAUCCCUUCUGCAAAACUAAAGGUUUUUCGGACGAGGGACCAAAAUCAUGAUGGUCAUUUCCAUGUAAACAACUCCUUAAGGUGUCUUUAGAAAAUACGACAUCGUGACCAAGUAGUUCCUUGCACUCAUAUGAAGGACAUGUAUUCUCAUCUCCCCUCAAAUAUUCUGAUACACACUGAUAGCAGAAAACAUGUCCGCACAUAGUAACAACUGCAUCCUCAGGUGGAUCCUGUAGAUUUACAAAGAUCAUUAACAGUAAGACCAUGUUUCAAAGGUACCAGGAGAAACUCGUUUGAAAUAUUGAAUUUGAAGCUCACAACAAAACCUUAGUAACAAAAUUAGGUCAUGUAUCAGUAGAAUCACCUCGCCAAUUAUGGUGGAGUGCAGAUUAGAUUAUGGUGAAAAUGCAGAUAUACAGAAACUAGUAUAUCCUGUUUGUUGACCAGUUUUACAUGAUUAUAUCUUUGAUGAGGUCUAUGGUUUGCACAAACAACUUAAUCAUUGUUUUAUUUACUUACAGCUUACAAUGUAGGAACUUCUGGGCUUUAAUAACUACAAUUUGUGCGAGAUUGAUAUCUGCAUUUGUAGGAUUAGAGGAGAGGCUAAUCAGUUAGAAUUUUGGGCUACAUAAUAGAUGAGAGAGUAAGUGAAAGCUUUGUCCGUAUAUUGCAUGGUUAAGGUGAUGUGUUUUGCUGCUCUCUUAGUACUCUUAUCAUAUUCAGACUGAAGAGUAAGAAACAACGCUGCUGCUAACAUUCUCAAUACUAGGGUGGGAUGAGAUAAACUUAUCUACUAAUUUGGUCUUGAAGUAAUAUUUUCCUCAUAGGCCAUAUAGCUACCAAAUAUACAGAUAAAGCAGGGAUAAAUUGAAUCAAUGAAUCCCUGUCUCACAGCUUAUCAUUUCUUAGUUCACCUGGACAAUGAAGAGUCUAUCCUAAAUUUAUUUUGAUUUUGAAGGUCAUGUACCCACCUCCUUUCCUUUUAAAACCAACAAGGUGGCCUAAUAUAUCCUUCCAUGAAUUGGUCCAUCACAUAGCACUUCUUGCCUUGUCUUAUAAACAAAUAUUUAAAACGCCAAACACUGAUAUGUUAGACUAAGUAAAGAGUCAGCUUUUAAUUUAUUAGUUCAGAAAAGAAAAUAAUUAUAUUAGUUCAGAAACAAAAAUGCUAGGUUGUCUACUUUAACACCAGAAAAGCUUCUUCACAUUUGUCUAAGAAAAAAUGCAUAAUUAAACACCACAAGAGUGGGUAUGAAUAACGUGUUUGAGGCAGGCACAUAGGAAAGAGGUAAAACACAGAAGAACUCACAUUGCACACACAGCAGAUGGCGGAGAAGGGAUCUAAGUGCUUCAUUAAAUUAAUUAGCAUAUCCCUGGGGAGAUUUUUCACCAUCUGCACUGAAUCUCUUCCAAUGGAGUCAGAUUUGACACCCAUACCCAGCAGUGGGUGAUCACAAGCCUGACGAAGGCGCAGAAGCAUCAAUAGAAUAUUUGCGUAAUUUUGAUUCAGAGUUCCAGCAGCAGCAUAAGCCUGCAGAAUAAACAUAUUAGACCAGGAUACGUGUUCAUAUAGGAUUAAGGAGUCCCGAAAGGUAUCCAAAAACCAUCGAUGGGAGAAAAUAUUUAUAAGUGCACGCAAAAUUAUUGCUCAUUCAAGAGCUGGAAUAAACAAACAAAUAAACUAUUGAAAGGAUAGCUAUAAGGACAUGACAAAGAUGUAAUUGUGAUAUUAUUUAAGAAAAUAAUAAUUACUUAUUUUUCAUCUUUUGACUCAUAGUCCACUUUCUGCAUUUAACCAGUAAAAGACUUUGCCAAAUAAUUACACAAGACCAAAUUAGACAGAACAGAAGUAUAAAUGUUCGGUUUAAUUACCCUUUAUCAAGAAAAAGAGAUCUCCUGUGGAUAGAAAAAUCCCGGCAAGGACCGGCAAACAUGGUACAGAACAUAUCUAUACUAUCUAUUAUAAUAAGCUAACAUGGGUAUAAUUUAUAGUACAAAGUUUUGGUAUGUUUUUUAGUCAUCCCUAAACUACCCUUACUUAAAAAAGAAAAAAAAAUCAACAUUUAAAUACUCUACUUCUGUAACUACAAGUCUACAAAACGUGGAGGUAACUUACAUCAUUAAACAGUUUCAAAGACUAGAAAUAUUGGUGAUGGAUUACAAAACAAAAUCUUCAUCAUUAUUCUUUUAAGUAAUCAUGAAUUUUAUGUAACUGAUACAAAACAAUUAAUGUUUUUUUAUAAAUAGACUUAUAAAUAAAUGUAUUCUACUUCACGACAAACUGGAAAUAAAAUAAAUAAUUUUAUAUAUCCGCUCCAAGAUAAAUAUGAAGUUAUCAAGAUAAACAAUUCUUUUUCUUAUAACCAAAGAAAUAAAAAAAAAUAUGACAUAUAUAAUUUAUACUCCCUUUGUCCCUUUGAUUUCUUUACAGUUUUUUUACACUGCUCGAAACGCAUUUUAAGGCACAUAUAAAACAUAGUUGUAUAACUUGUUUUUAAAAAAUUUCUUUUUUGUAUAAAAAUAUAAACAUCAAACUUUUAUUCAAAAGAAAAAAAAGUUCAAAAUAGUUUAUCAAACUACGUUUUAUGAGAGCAUUAGAAUGCGUGCCGAGCCCCCGUCCUCCAAUGUAAACAAAUGAGGGGGACGGGGGGAGUAAUUACUUAAAAAAAAAAGGUAAAACUACUAUCAGUAGCAUAUAUUAAUAUUAGAAAAUACUUAUAAAUAGCUAAUAAAAAUACAAAUUAUUUCUACUACCCAUUUACAAUAUAUAAAUAAAUUAUUGUAAGAGCUAAAUCUAUAACUGAAAACAUAAUCAAUUUCUCAACAAUAUUUAAAUCAAAUUCCAAUACAUUUUAAUUUUCAAAUAAAAAUAUAUAAUGACGAUAAAAAUUAAAUUAUAAAUAUAAAAUUUUGAAUUAUAUACUCGCUUGUGCUUCGCACAGAUUAUCUUUUAAAAAAAACAAAAAUAAACAAUUAUACAAAUGAUAAGAGACACACCAACAUGUCUUUACUUAAUUAUAACAUGUUCAACUCGAAAACAAACACGAACCAUCAUUCAAUUCUUCUCUUAACUCUAACGAGUUCUACUUCAAGACAAACAUGAACCAUCAUGUAACCCUUUUUAAUUCUAACGUUGUAUACUCCAAAACAGAAAGGAAAAUAAAUAGUAUCCUUUUCCUUACAAAAUGAAAAAUAUGACUAAAAUUAAUUGAAAAACACAUUAUCACAUAUUAAUAUUAGAAAAACAUUUCUAAAAAAUAAUAAAAGUGUUUAUUGUUUAUACUACCAAUCUAAAAUAUGAAAAAAAAAUUAUUGCAAAAGCUAAAUUUUCAAUAAAAAAUAUAAUCAGUUAGUUCAUAUAUUAUAAAAGUUCAACCAUUAUACUAAAACACUAACAAUAUGAUGUUAAAAGUUAAAUUACAAAUAAUAAAAUUUGACCUAUAUACUCACAUGUGCUUCACACGGGUUUAAGACUAGUAAUUACUAAAGGCAGCAAUAUAUGCCAGUGACGCCAAUUUCCCCAAUUUUACCAUGCCUCUGGUUAGUGUUAAUUAUUUGACUAUAAAGAGGAUGCAUUACUUGCAAAGGUAUAAUACCUUGAAUUGUGAGAGUGAAUUAGCUUCAAGUUCCUUAUAGAAAUCUCUCUCCUCCUCAGAAAACUCCGCCUGAAUUAAGUUGAUUGUUUUUCGUGGUAAUCUUAUUAUCGGUUCUCCAUCAAUAAAUGUACCUAUGCAUGGAAAAGGCACCAAUUAGCAUCAGGCUACAAAAUUAACUCAAUAUAAAGAUCAAAACAAAUUUCGUUAUCAGAUAAAGAUUAAAGUAGAAUAAUUUUUCAUAUGUGCAGCAUAAAGAAAAUGCCUAGGAUAGAUUUGGGCUAUUAUUCAUCGAACAUAAAAAUAUUCAUCAAAAUGAGGAAAAUUUUCAAUAAAUAGAAUGACUCAAAAACAUAUUCACCUUUUGUUCGACGAAGCAUUACAGCACUCAAUACAGCAUAGAGCUUCUUGUAACCCUGAACUGAAUCUCUUGAUAUAGGAUUCUUCAAUUUACUACAAAAUGAUUUGUAGGUUGUAUACGGAUCAUAUUUUAGAAAUCUGAAAUAACUAAACAAGUCAUCAAUAGAAUUCUGUAUAGGAGUUCCUGAUAAGCACCAUCUAGAUUUUGCUUUAAACCCAGCACAAGCUCUAGCUACUUGGGUUCUAUGGUUUUUAAUUGUUUGAGCUUCAUCUAAUAUCACUCUAAGCCAACGUACUUUUGCAAGAGUACCACAAUCACUAUCAAUACAAGAGAUCUCAAUUCCUUUCUUGGCCUUUUUGCUUUUCUUACCAGCAUGAGUUUUCCGCUUACGUUUGUUAUUACAGGAGAAGUCAGAAAUCAGACCAGAGUUCUCCAUGUUUUUCUUAUUCUGAUCCUCAUCAUCGCCAGAAGUUUGUGGAACCUCAUUAGCAACAAUAGCAUAUGUCGUAAGAACCACAUCGUAUUUUGCUAGUUCAACAGGAUCCUUUGUCCUGUUACUUCCAUGAUAAAUUAAAACACGAAGUUUAGCUUUAUCAUCAACUUUUUCUUUCAGCUCCCUGUCCCACUGUCGAAGCACACUAGCUGGACACACAACCAAUGUGCCUGCUUGGGGCCUCUUUGGUUGGAUAUUACGACUAGAAGUACUGGCUUCUGGAAUCAGUAUAAGGUCAUGAGAGUCUUCAUCUUGCUUACAUUUCUCAAAAGCAUUGGCAUCAUUCUCCUCAUCAUCAUCCAAAUUCAACGCUUCAGCUCUCUUAUCGCUUACAUCUUCUGACUUUGAUUUUGACUGCAGCAAUUUCUGAAUUUGUAUAAGAGCGAUCAUUGAAAUGGUCUUACCAAGGCCCUGCCAGGUAAAAAUAUCUUAAUCUAGGUUAAACUCGAGAAAUAAAUUCCAUUUAGGAUCAUGCAAGUUCCUAAAGGAUUAACUAAUAUAGAACACCUGGUCGUCAGCAAGAAAUCCACCCGAACAACAGACGCUUUUUUCCUUCUGAAGCAUCCAUGACAAUGCAAUUCUCUGUAAUAUAUAAUAUUUAUGCUCAGGAGUAUGGGUCUAUAGAAUAUGAAUUGGAAAAGUAAAUUAUAUAAGUAGGAAGAGUAACCUGGUGUUUAAGAAGGGAAACUGAUAACAGGCCAUCAGGAUAAGUAGCUUCAGCUUUAGGCUGGUUAAGAUCCUAGACGUAAAUCAAACAUGACUAUAUCAUUAGCAUUUUCGUUGCAGAAGGCCAUAAAAAUUAAGAUAUGUUGUGCUCUAAGAUAUUUUCUGAUUCACUGUAAUCGUAAUAGGGAUUAUCUGUAUUUAUAAAGCAAAUAAAAUGUUUCAUAAACUUCAUAAUCGAGAAGAUGAAUGGAAAUACGAGUUGGGAGUACAAAAGUGGGGGUAUUAUACAUAUGGCAAGGUAACACCAUAUGACUUCCACAGAACAUGUUGGUUAAACAGAACAAUGUACAAGAAAAUCCAAAUAUAUAAGUCAAGAUCAUGGGUGUCUGUUGACGGUAGGCAGGGAUGACAAAGCAGCAUCAUGCUUUAGAGGAAUCAUUCAGAUAAUAAAAGCUAAAAUUUUACAAGUUCUCUUUCUGUAAGAGAAAAGUCAUGACCCAAUAAUAAGUUCUUAAUGACCAAGUUAAGUUACUUGACUACCUGCAAUGCUGCCUGAUAGAUUAAUCUCUCGUCGUACUCGCCAUAUUGUUCUUUUCCAGCCCCAGAAUGCAAACCAGGACCAGCAGAGGAGGAAUGUUGAGCAGUCGAAGGAUAUGUCCUUGGCAUAAAAGGCUUGGGCAUUGGCAGACUUCCAUUUUUAUCAUACAUAACCAAGUCAUCAUCACAAUCCUUUUCUAAUUGGUUUUCCAAUUGGUUUGGCACACCCUGUGCAGGAUAACUUCUGGCAUAACUUUCACGAAUCUGGCUGCUGCCUAAAUUUCCUAUUGAGUAGGUUGAUCCAUGGACAUGUGGCUUCAAGGAAGGGGCAAGGCUUCUCUUAAGGACCUGCCCAUAUAAGUGUUGUCCAAAGCCUGUAUCAGAUAGAAAAAAUUCAGCAUGGUCAUUGUGAGAUUAAGAAACUAGACUCCAAAAUCAUGCCAUUUUCCAGGGUGACUACCAUGUGAUGAGCUUCCAUUGGGAAUAGUUGUUCGAGAAUGAGCUUUUGAAGACAGCCUGCCAUGAUCUGUGGAGCUUACAAAGGGUCAGAUAAUUUGUAAAUCAAUGCAUAAUGCUUUCGUGAUAUAUAAAUAGGCUUGCCAGUUAAACCUGUUCCAACGUGAUUUUGGUGACCAGGAUUCCAUACAUUUCCAUUAGAAGUAGACACGCGAGAAUUACUCUUGUAAGAUGUACCCCCAUUAACUGAUACAUAAAAAACAGAAUGCAUCAUUAGAAGGCACAAUGAGCCAAUUAUUUUAUUUUCUUUUUUAUAAAAUAGUAAUUAAUUUCAACCUGCGGAGCUUGUGCCAGCAAAAUCAGCCCACGAAGGUAGCCGCCUAAGACCAGCAGAAGUAACAGAAUCAUCAACGAUCGAUUCAUCCGCUUCCAAAUCCCAACUCUCUGACGAUGAACUAAUAUCUAUAGGUUCAUUCGCCAUACCAAACUCUUCCUCUUCCUUCUCAGCACUCGAAUUACAACCUCCCUACAAACCAAAUUUCCACAAUCAUAAACCCCUAAUCACUCACACACACAUCACAACCAAACCAACCAUCACAUAACACACACUACUAACCUCUACUUUAUUACUCGACGAAACGACACUCGAAAACAAUCCAGUCAACAAAGACAAACACCUCCGAGUACAAUUGACAAAAUUGCGAAUAGGAUUGUCAUGAUCAGGCAUCUAAACAAACAGCAUAGCCUCUUCCCUCACACAAAUCAAACAUCAACACACUACACAACUAAACAGUAAUUCACAUGGGAAAUUAACUAAUAACGCAUAAUCUACAUAAUUGAAACAUCAUAAAAAGCAUAAUUGAACUGUAAUUGAUAAAAAGAUUAAGAAGAUUGAUGAGAAACCUGGAAUAAUUAAAAUCGCAGAGAGAAUUGGGCGCAAUUUAAAAGUGUUUGAUUUGAAAGUAAUAAAAAAAACCCUAAUUAUUGUAAUUAUGAGUAUGUUAUUAUGUGUUUUAUAUAAACCCCGAGAAGGAUUGGAGGUAGCGUGCAGCUUCGGCGAGGCCUCCUAUGUGUACCCAACAAGUUUAAUUUUUUUUAAUUAUUUUAUAAUAAAGGUAUAAAAAACCCAUAAAUAAUAAACAUGUGUUUGGCUUGAUAUAUAAAUAUUUUCAGAUUAAUAUAUUUUUAUAUAAUAUGUAUAUUUUUGUUGGAUUUGUUAAAUAAUAAUAAUUAUUGAAUAUGUUAAAUAGAUAUUUUAUAGUUAAAUUCUUUGAAAAGUUUAUAAAUAGUUAGGUUCUAAAAUUUUUAAGGAAGUUGCAAAAAUUUUCAGAAAUAUAGUUAAUACCGGUUGAUGUUGAUUUUUAAGUUGUUUACAAUUGAGGUUGUGUAAAUGUUUGUACCAUAUUUUUGAAUUUUUCUCUUUACAAUUUGGAUAAUUUUGAGACAAAUUAAAGAAAUUUUCAAUAAACCUAUUUAAUGUGUAUGUAAUUAUAAGCGAAAAUAGACUUUUUUUUUAUACACUCAACUUAUUAUGUUUUUAGAAACUUAUCACCCAACUAAUCUUUUUAUCCUUUUGCUCACUAAUGUUAGGUUUGGUUUUAUUUUUAGCCACCAACUUAGGUUCGAAUUUAUUUUUUUGUCAGGGUCUACAUACACGUAGAUAAAUUGUAUCAAAUACAAUAGCUGCCACACGGGAAUUCUUUCAAGAAAGUUUAUUUUCUAAUUGAAGAUCAUGCAAGAUGGCCCCAAAACCUUAGAAAAUAAGACCUUAAUGACUGAAAAGAUAAAACCCGUCUUCUAUUCUUCCAAAGAAUCUUGAAAAACGAAAUAAAACAAAACAUAAAUCAAUACAAGAAAAUCAUAUAUUAUAUAUAUAUACAUAAACUUAAUUAAGGUAAAAAAAUAUAAUAAAUCUAAUAAAAACAAAAAUGAAAAGAAUGAAUAUAAUUAAAUAGAGGAUGUAAAAUAAUAAAGAAAUGAUAAUUAAUAAAAAAAGAAAUCUAACCAAAGGGGAUUGCUUUGGUUAGAUACAUAAAGUUAAUUAUUAAUCGAGGAAUAAAAUAAUAGACAUUAAGACAUAAUCAAAUAGAGAGGAAAACUUAAUUUUCGAUGAUUGUCCUCUAUAAUGCAUCGUUUUAUGUUAUUAUUACACCCUCAGUCCCUCCAUUAGUCUAUAGUUUUUUCUGUUGCUUAGCACGUAUUUAAGACUCUUAUAAAACAUAAUUUCAUAACUUAUUUUUGUGAUUUUUUUUGUGUGUAAAAAUUUAAACGCUGAAUUUUCAUUCGGAAGAAAAAAAAUUAUUUAUGAAACUACAUCUUUUUUUUUUGUAAGGUAUGAAACUACAUCUUUUAAAAGUUAUAAAAUGCGAUAAAAUUCUUAUCACCCAAUGACAUUGGAGACAUAAAAAGUAUUAUAUAUAUAUAUAUAUAUAUAUAUGUCUUCAAGUUUGGGUUUGUAAUAUUCGUAUUAGUAGCCAUUGUAGCAAAUCUUAAGGUUUGAAUCAUACCACCCUCCGAGGUUUUAUCAAUAAAUGAUAUAUCUUGAAAAUAUUAUAUGUUGGUUUAAAUAUUGCAAUGUCCUCAAAACCGACUCGAUAAAUAUCCAGAACAUGAAACCAAUUACUGAACAAUAAUCUAUAUAUCUAUAAAAGAUUCGAAAGAAUUUUAUAUUGUAGUGAGAAUCGUAUUCAAUCCUUGUCUUUUACGAUACUAUGAAUCCUAACAGUUGGACUCCAAGAAUAAUGUAUUAGGCUAGCUAGAAUUGAUAAUAUCACUUAGUUUCCUGACAUGUAAAUAUUUUUAGCUAGGUUAGUCAUGAUUAAUUAGCUUUAAAAUAUGCCAUGAAAUCUUGGUGGUCAAGAUAUUGAGCAAGAUUAUUGUGGUUUGUAUUUUUUUUUUUGCUUGUUGGAAGAUCCGCUUGCGUUGUUGAUUGUUAGUAUUUUCAGAAAAAGCCCAAACUACAAGUUGUAAUAUAAAUCAAGAAAAGAAAGUUAUGUUGGCAUUAGUCAAUAUGAUCAAUUGAAAUGUUGAACAUAACUAGUUGGUUAUAAUAUCAAUUCUCAGCCUUCUGCGAAGUAGAAAUCUUUUUAAUGAAAUUCGAGGUUCAAGUAAUGAAGUGGCUACUUCCGAUGUUAAGGAGGUCGAGAAUUUCGGUUAUGUGAAGCUUUUCAGGUUUCAAAAGGAUUGAACCUUGCUACGUAGACGUCUGAAAGUUUUCAGCUUGACAGCAUGUUAUCUAUCCCAAAAGUUUUCUAGCUAUGAAGUAAACACUGGAUGAUAUUCAGAACCAAAGUGGGUUAUUAGAUAUAUACAAGACUCCUGCAUGCUCGAUGAUUCCCAAAACAACCUAGUCUACACCAACAUUAAAAACAAACUAAGUCAGGGUUUACUCCCUUUGUCUCAAUUUAACUUUGGACCUUUUUUACACGUAUUCUUCCAGAUUUAAAAAGACCACAUCUAUACAUAAUAUUGUUUAUAAACUUUAUAUAAAAUAAAAGUGUAGAAUCUAAAUUUUAAUUUUAUAUAAGAAUUAAUAGUUUUUUGAGUGUAGUUUUUAUUUUUGUGCUCUUUAAUAUCGUCCCAAAAAGCCAGACAUCACUUAAAAUGGGACAAAGAUAGUAUUAACAUUGCAAUUACAAUUAUUUCCCUAUAAAAAGUAAGAGUAAAGUUUUUUUUGUUGAUAAAAGUAAUAAUAAAGUUAGGUAAUCUCAAACUAUAGUGUAAUGUAUAAUAGGAUGCACACUCAUAAUUUUAAAAGGGAUAAAUAUCAAAAUAUUUGUUAGUUUGGUUCAAAUAUAUUAAACCAGUCACUCAAUUCAGAACUGACUUAAUUUGGUUGUCAAUUUAAAAUUUUGUAACAACUUAGUAAAAAGUUAAAAUUUGCAUCAAUUUAGUCACUAGUAGAUGGUUUACCUAAUAAUUUUUUUAAGUUACUAACUAAAUUGAGUCAAUUUUAAAAUGAAUGAUUAAUUUGAUAAAUUUGAACCAGACGAGUGAUACUUUGAUAUUUAUCCCAUUUUAGAAAUGUUUUCUUAUUGAAAAAUUAAGUAUUUUCAAUUUUAAUAUAAGAUAAACAAUAAAAUAAAAUUUUAUUUACAUAAAACAAAAAAUAUAAAAAAAAUUAUUCAACUUUAAAAAUUACUUAAUUUUAAUAUAUAAUACGAUAAUAAUAAUAUCCUAUUUAAUUUGACGAUAAAACCCAAACAUAUCCUACUUGUACUUUUUAUAUCGAAAUGUACAAAAGAUAUAAUAUAUUCGGAUCCACUUGUUACAUCUAUCAACUGGGCCUUGAUCUUUUCUUGCACGGGCUCGAGUCAAAUGAAAGAUAUUUGACCUAAAGGCAAACCCUAGCUCAAGGUUCUUGCCGCCCCUUCGGAUAAAUACAAACACACUAUACGAGUUUAGAGUGAAGCAAAUAAGACAGAAUGGAGGAGAGUAUUGGAAGCAAUUGCGUUGGCUUUGAAGAAGAUGAUGGAAAAAUAACACUGACAGUGAUGGCGCUGAGAGGAAAUCCCUUCAGCUUCACCAUGAAGCGUGACGAAACAUUUCUAGAUCUCAAGAUUGCGUACUGUGAGAGUCGAGGACUAGGCCAUCAUAAAAAUGUAUGGUUCAUUUGUAACGGUAAGAUCCUUUGCUGCCGCAAUACUCCCAACGACUUCGGAAUCGAAAAUGGCGAUGUUAUUCAUGUUCAGCUGAAUUUGGCUGUUAAUAUUUUCAUAUUCUUAUUUACAACAAUUUUCAAUCUCAUAUAUUAUGCAGCCUGAAAACUUUUAUGUAUUCGCUCCAAGUAAUCGAGACUCGAGUUAGUUUAUCAUGCCUAUUAUGCACUUUUGAUUUUGCACUUAUGAAUAUUGUUAUUAUUUUUGGAUGUUAUUGAAUGCGAAAUUUUGGAAAUUAUAUAUUGUUACCAUAAGCAUAAUCUGUUGAUCAUGAAGUUAUAUUGAAUGUUUGCCUUGUAAAUUCAAUAAACGUAAUCCGUUGAUCCUAAUAUUAUAUGCGAUGUCAUUUAUAUUUUGAAUCUGUUUAUCGAUAAGUGUUGACAUAACUUCAACAAUGAUAUUAGGCUACUUGGAAUUGGUCAUGUCACUUGAUUCUUGAAAUGCCCAAGAUUUUUCAUUGGGUCGAGAUUAAUUAGGUUUGUAAUAUGCCAUGUAUUAAUCUUGUUUUUCGCAAAGCUGAGCGAGAUUUAGUAUGAUCCCUUAUGAAUAUCUACUUGUGUUGUCGCCUGUUAAUUAGUAUUUUUACAAGAGCCCGAAUUACAAGUUACAAGUGGAAACUUGUAAAGAAGAUAAAGGAAAGAAGAUUAUGUUGGCAAUAUGAACUCGACAUAUAUUACUAUGAUUUGGACUUUGGAAUAUAAUAUGUGUUUUGCUAUGUUUUUUAUUUGUUUCCACUUGAUUAUUUUUCUUUUUGGUAAAUGUAGAUUGUGCGAAUAAGCACACCAGUUACUGAAAUUCCACUUGGUCCUCGUUGCUCACAUAAUUCUUUUACUCUGUUUAUCAAGUAUUAUAGUUAUAAUUUUGAACUUGUUCAAAGUAUUCCAUUUCCAUUUCCAUUAUAGUACUACAAGGUUGUGAUGAUUUAGAGGAUGUGAAAAAUUAGUACUGCAAUGUGCUCCUAUUAACUUUUUAAAAAUUUAAGAACCUCAUCUCCCUACUCUUUUAUAAAGUGUAUCUACGUGCUCCCAACUUAUUAUUAUUGAAUAUACGGUUUUUUUAUGGUGUGUAAAUGGGCACAUACUAAGGACUAGAUUCUAUACAUAUAGCUCAUUUUGAUUGGCUACUACUUUUUAAUAAUGAUAUACCCCCCUCAUAUACAACAACCACACCAGUCAAAAUGAGUUAAAUGCAUAGAAUUUAGCUCUUAGCAUGUGCUCAUGGGCACACAAUCGACAAACCAUUGAAUAUAAUAUUCACUUCCCUCCAGUUUUAAUCACAUCUCUUUUUGACCUUUCUUUAAACAAUAAUAAAAUAUGAAUAGAGUGCAAGUAUAAAGCGUAGGGUCGAAGUUGUCACGAUAUUCAAUGUAUUAACUUGUUACGAGCCAUAUAUUAUAUUAUUUUUUAGAGAAUGAUUUAGGCGCUCCAUUAGAGUUGUCCUAAUACUGUUGAAUACAGAUGUAGAUGUUCAGUUGGUGACGAUAUAAAGUCUAACCUUUGAAUUGGAACUAAUCAGUGUUGUGCCCUCUUUUGACUAGUGUGUGUGGGAGGAGGGGGGGGGGGGGGGGGGGGGGGUUGAUGGGCUCAUUUGGGACCAACACACUAUAGAGACAUUGGAGACUUAAUUCUUCACCCUUAGAUUACACUCUAAUCUAGUGGAAAUAAUUAAACAUUAAUUUGUUUUUAUUUCUUUUGAAAUAAAGAGGAAGACACGCCUAUCUAUCUUGUACGAGAAUCACACUUGGUUAUGUGAUAGUUAUAAUUUUGAAUUUAACUCAUCUUGGAAGAGUGCCCCCUUUCUAUUGGAUUUUGAAUGAUUGUGGGCAAAUAUUACUGCAGGAUAAGCGCGCUCUAUCAAUCUUCUAGGUUUCUUCCAUCUCAUAAUUCGGCAUUUUUACAAAAUAAAGGAAAGUCUAAAAUCAUAAGUGAAGGUAUAACGUCUUUCUUGUUCUUCAUGUAACUGGGUUCAACUAUGUUGUCCACUCCUUAUAAAGUUGGUUAAUAAUAGCCCGAUCAAUUUUGUAGCAUACGACUUGUUGCAUGUAAGAGUAACAUCAUAAUUUGAGUUCUUCUCACUUUUCAAAAUUAAUUUUGUAGACUCGCAUCAUAAUAUAAGUAAAUGGCAUUCAUGAGUGACUAAUUGGAAGAUAUGUGUAGCGGAUGAUUCAACAAAUGUUUUAUGUGAUUGUUUUUUUUUUUAAUUUUACUUGUUACAUGCUAUUAUUGUCUGGAUUAAUAUUUAGGUUAAUAUUUGUUGGAUGAGCUGUAAUGAGCAAGUUAUUUCUGAUUUGGUGCAAGACAAUGUUUCCAUAAGGUAGUUUGAUUGGAGGACAAUUUGUUCCAGUAAUAUAACAUAUAAAUACAAUUUGAAUGCUCAUAUAAGUUACUUAACUAUAUCUAGAUGUGAUCGAGUAAAGAAACAACAAAGAAAUCUUGGUUUGAGACAAUUUGUUAUUUUACUAUAUUUUAGACCAUUAUUGCCUAAUUUACUACUCUCAAGUACAAAAGUUUUAAACUCUCUGUUUUGGAACAACUUUUAAUCCUUGUAUAUACUCUUUAACUACAUCUAGAAGUGAUCAAGUCAAGAAAUACUAGACGAAUUCUCAAUUUUAGUGUUCUUUUUGAUCAUUUUUGUCUAGUUUAGCAACUUAAAAGUACCAAUCUUAAAACCCUCCGUUCUUCCUCCAAUUUGAUUUCUAUUACAUGUUCCUUAUCUAUAUAUAGAUGUGAUCAUGUCGAUAAACCAAAAAAAAAAAAUCAUAGUUCUAGUCGAUUUGUGUUUUUCUAGUAUGUUUUUUUAGCUUUAACGCCUCAAAUUGUCACUUACAAGUACAAAUUUUUAAAACUUCUGCUUUUAAACUAAUCAAAAUGCAUGUACGGGUUCCUUAUCUAUAUUUAGAUGUGCUCACAUUAAAAACAAAAAAACCUAGUUUUAGACAAUUUGUUAUUUUUUAGUGUUUUUUUUAGCAUUUUUGCCUAAUUUUUUUACUUACAAGUACAAAUAUUUAAAAUUUAUUUAUGUGCACAGAUUUGAAUAAUUGUACAUGCUCCUUACCUGUAUCUAGAGCUAAACAAGCCAAAAAAAUUAUAAUAAUAAAUAGUUCUCGGCUAUUUGAUCAUUUUUAGUGUGUUUUUCGAGCAUUUUGCCUAAAUUAGCCACUAUGAGCAUCUUCAACGCAAGUCACCUAUUAGGUUUAAAUCUACGUGGCAACUGAUUUAUCUAAUAUGUGAAAAAAAACACCACUCCAACGCAGAGACCUGUUAGCAAUACAUAUGUUGAUUGAGUGUCUGUCAGCAAUACAUAUGUUGAUUGAGUGUCUGUCAUCUAUAUCGUAUCCACGUCAUUUUCUUUUAGAAUAUAACUUAAAGAAAAUUUAACUCUGCUCCAACCUAGGUGUCUGUAUUAUAUUAUAUAUGUAUUAUACUAUAAUUCUAUUUUAUAUAUUUGUAUAACUUUUUAAUUUUAUGUAUUGUCAAGUGUAAAAAUAUUUAUAAUAAAUAAAUAAUAUAAUAAAACUAAUAUAAUAACUUAUAUAGUUAUUUAACGUCAAUUGUGUAUUUAUAACCAAGAAAAUUAGUAAAUGUUUUACAUAAUAUAAUUAAUUUUUGUUAAUUAGUUUUUUCAAGUUUUAUUAUUAGAAUAGUAUCGGUAUAUGUGUUUUUAUUAAUUAGGAUUUAAUAAAUCUUCUAAGUAGUGGAGGCUCACCAGUAAGGCGGCCUAGCAGAAUGAUGAGCACAAAGAACUCGGUCCAAAAUAAUUAAGCGUCCGAUGUAUAUUUGGUCCAAUUUUGAUCUUGGGCUGGAGAGCAGAUAAUCUUCAUAAAUUAAGAUGGAUGGGCCAACUUUGGUGAUCCAUAUCUAAAUGUGGGCUUGUGGGCCUGCCGAGGCUCAUGUCGAUUUUGGGCAUAACAAUCGCAAUGUGAGCUGGAUUAGUUUUAUUUCCGUGAUAAAUUUAAUAAGCUUAUCUAACAUUUGAUUAGAAAACAAAUUUAUGUGUUAAUAUGAUCGUUAAAAUUGGGUUAAAUUUUAACAAAGCUAAACAUCUCUUUUAAAAGAUUUCAGAUACAAGUACAAAACUAGUGAUCAUUGGAGAGACUAUGGAACGAGAUCAAGGAUAUUGGUUAUGUGAAGCUCGGGAGCGCUCUAGCCUUGCAAUAUGGGACAUACGAAUGUUGUCACCUUAAUUGUAAAUUUGUAAUAUGCUCACACUAACAAAUAUUUUCAAAUUAUAAAAUAAAAUUCAAUCAAAAUCUUCGACAUAUCUAAAAUUUAGUGUAGUUGUUAAUGUGCCAGAAAGACUCAUGGUAUUAUGUAUUCGGGUAGUUCUCCUAAUUUCAUAGAACGUGUUUUGAUCGCAUCACAUAUGCAAAAUUUAUGUUUCAAUCAAAGUAUUUUUUGCAACGAUUCAAUUCAUUAUUAAAAGUACUAAAAAUUUUGUAAGGUUUUUUCAAUUUUCUUAAUUAAAGUUUUUGAUUUUAGUAUUCUCUCUGUUUCAAAUAUAUGACGUGUGACCUAUAUACACACAUUUUUUACACGUUUUUUAAGAUGUAGAAAAAUCACAUCUAAAUGUAAUUAUUUUUUUUUAUUAAAAUUUAUAUCAAAUGAAAAUAUAGAAUGUAAGCUUUAGUUUGAUAUAAGUUUUGAAUGUUUUUCAUAACAAAAUUUUUGUAUCUGUACACCUUAAUAUAUCUGUCAAAAAAUCAAACAAUAUUUAAACUAGGACAUACGGAGGAUUAAAAUUGUGAUUACCGUUCUUAAUUUUCUAAUCAGUAUUUUCAACCAAAUAGUUAAAAUUAUUGUUUUUAAUUUUUUUGAAUAAAAGUACAUGAUUGAUAAUUUUAUUUUUAAAAAUAAAAUUUAAAAAAUAAUAUUAGUUAUUGAAGUCAAAAAUCUUAACAAUGCUUGCAAAAAAGUCAACGUCAAUUAUUUGAAAUCGAGUAAUAACUUUCUAAAUUUAGUAAUAAGUUUAUGCUCUUUCUGUCAAAACUGACGUUAUUUAUUCUGGAUGGUAAACUUGUGUCCCAGAGGCACAUGAUAAGUCAUAAUUAAUAUAAUUAAAUAUUCUUUAAUUUACAUGAUUAUCGGUGUGGGUAUAUAAAACUAUUCAAAAACUCAUUAAAUACCUAUAAUAAAAAAAAUAUUGUUCUAUUUCAAAAAAGUUAAAGAACGUAGAAUAAAUUAUUUUGUUAACUUUUACAUGAUCAUUUUUAAUUGAUUUCAUUAUUUCACAUAAUGAGAUGACAAUUGAUGUGAUGGGCUUUAAUUGGUAUUGUUGCCCAUUCCAAUUAAAAUUUACCGCAUAUCAUUAUGUAGAUAAUUUUGUACAUAAUUAUAUGAUCCAAGCCUUUUUCAAUAAAAAAUAGUUAUUGCACAUAAUAAAAAUUACUACAUCCGUCCCUUUUUACUUGUCACUUUAACUUUUUGCACAUAACUUAAGGUGAGUAAAAAACAUAAUUCCGCUUAUUAUUUUUAAAAUAUUCGUUUUAUGAAUAAAAAUAUAAAUUAUAAACUUUAAUUCAGAAAAAGAAAAUUUUAAUAAUAACGAGUAGAAGUAUGUUCUUCACCUUAAGUCGCUUGCAAAAAGUCAAAAUGACGAGUAAAAAGGGACGGAGUAGUAUUUAUUUAGGGAUGGACCGGAGUCAUUUUUGGCACGUCAAAAGUCCAAUUAAAGCUUUCGGAUCGGCGUUGUUAGAGAGUCUAAAGAUAUCAAUGUAAAUGUUGAGAGAUGCAUUCAUAAGAUAUCGAAAAGACACGACCCAUCAUAUUCACAGAACUGUAUACAGGAGAGUGAAGAAGUCAUGGGAGAGUGUAUAAAUACACACACAAUGGACAACACCUCUACACCGAAGCGAUCAGAGAGAAGAAGCCAUGGAAGAGAGUAG
rnacentral:lncRNA from 1 species